UUUUUUUGCCCCUAGUGGCUUUUAUUUUGAAAGAAAUCCAACAGAAAGGGGAUGGAAAGAAGGUGGGUGGGUGAGGACAUGCAACCGAGGAGCCACAUAGCAGAGUUGUAGUCAAGACCACCGAACCCAAGACCAAGUCAAGACCAGCACCCCGCGCUAUGUGACACAA